rnacentral:lncRNA from 1 species
CUAGGCAUCAUCUUCUAAACACCCUAAGACCUAGGAGCAGCUCUAGAUCUCUCACGAAAAAACAAAAUCAGCCGCAGGACCUCUUUAUUCUUCACCUUCUUCUCCAUCAGUACCAAACAAACACACACACGCAAGAGACCAUCUCUAGCCGUCACCUCUCAACCCCAUUCCAACCUCCAUAGGCCGCUCAAGAGCCGGAAACCCGUCGGAAAAUGACGCCCACCACCUCUGAACCCUAGUCUUGAGUCCCAGCAGCCGCUUAAACUAGUCAUCUCUCCCCAAACAUCCAAUCUCCUUCUUCCUCACCUCACAGCAGUUACCCGCCACCCCCCUUUCCUCAAAUCUUCACGAAAAAAGGGGUUUUGAGAGGCGAAAAUUCGAAGAGGAGGGAGAAGGAGAAAGGUUUCAAGUGGGAUCGUCGCUCGAGGUUCAGGUUCAAAGUUCUUUGUCCAGCUUUCACCGAAUCUCUAGAAGUUCGUUCAUCUUGUCGCUGCUUGUGUCUUGUUCGAGUUCGAAAUUUCGUCGUUUGGCACUAUAUUAUGACUGUGUAAUUGCUGAAAAUUUCAGCUAAUUGAAGCUUUAAUUUCAGGUCUGUUUUUCUUUCUUCCUUUUUACUUGUUUUGAUAUUGAAGUUCAAUGUGACUGAAUGCCCCGUUUGCUAGGUGAAAAAUGCUCUGAAUUGCUGAUUCGUUUGCUCGGCCAGUGGAUUAUUAGUUUUGGUUUGUCUAUGCUUUAUUGCCAUUAAUCUCGAUUAGCUUCGUUUGAACUGAUGGCUGAAUAGUUAACGUUUCGUUGAGGCCUAGCGGAUUCUCCUUUGGACUUAAAUCAACUUGAGUUCCUUGUACCUUGAGAUUGAAUUGACACUUCAUUUUUCCCGGAUAAACGAUCCGAAAGUGAAACUCGCUGUUUUGUUUAAUGUCUCUAAAUGCUAUUCUCCUCAUAUGUUAAUUGAGCUACCAGAUUAUCUUGUCGUCUCGUUAGAGAUAGUUUGGGACAUAAUCGCAUGUUGAAAUCAGAAAAAAUCAAUUUUCUCAUGAGAUAAGUUGCUUGUUCUUGUUUGCAGACCCGUUCUCUGUGCCGAUGUAUAGUGAAGCACGCUUUCUGAAUGUGGCCUAAGCUAGUUGCAUCAUCUUUAAUACGUUCUUAGUUUAUUUUUGCCCCUUUAGAGUAGUCCGCGUAUUUGGAGGGUGUCUGAUUUGUCUUUGCAUUACAGUUCCGCCCAUAUUCAUUGUUGAGAUUAUAUGGAUUAGCUUAAACGAGUUUUACAAGCAUCAUGUAGUAACAAUAUCUAGGAAAUGGCACAGUAGUAUUUCAAGGGUGUUUAUGUCUUGCAUGGCUUAUAUAUAUUUUAGCUCAAUCUGUUCCUUUCUCUCACAGUGUAUACUUAGGAUGCAAUAUUUGUCUAGAUGCUUACUACUAUUCAUAUGUGUGUGUUGAUCUACAGGUUUUUUAUUGAGUGCCCAGAAGUUGGUUAUUGUUAAUUUUCUAAUUUGAACACAUUCACUUUCUGUUUUUUUCUACAUUUCUUUUGAUUGGCUUUUUUUAUUUUGUUUGUUUCGUAUAUUUUGGUUAAUUUCUACUAGGUGUCUUUAUAACUUUGCUUGGUGAUUCAUAUCUGUUGGCAUUUCUUCAAAGUGGUCAUUUAUUGGGGUUCAUGCCUGUUAAUUUUUUUGGGGCCGAGGUCCACCGAAACUUUGUUGUUGUUCUUGUUGUUGUAUGAAUACUCAUAAUCUUUG